UACGAAGGGGGCUAGCGUUGUUCGGAAUUACUGGGCGUAAAGCGUGCGCAGGCGGCUUCUCAAGUCAGGGGUGAAAGCCCAGAGCUCAACUCUGGAAUUGCCUUUGAGACUGAGUGGCUUGAGUACGAGAGAGGUGAGUGGAAUUCCCAGUGUAGAGGUGAAAUUCGUAGAUAUUGGGAAGAACACCGGUGGCGAAGGCGGCUCACUGGCUCGUAACUGACGCUCAGGCGCGACAGCGUGGGGAUCAAACAGG
rnacentral:rRNA from 1 species